ACUUCAUUCAUUCGGUCUAAAACUCUCAACUCUCUCAAGACUCGAGCAGUUCACCCCUUCUCUAUCACUCUUCCGCUCUCUACCUGUUUCUUUCCCUCAUCAGAUCUAUGAAUCCAAAAGCCCCAAUUACAUUUUGUUUCUCUUUACUCUCUAGGUCACCCGUUCGUCCAACCCCAAAAUCGUAGAAAACUAGAGCAGUUCCAGCCAUUGGUAAAUCCCCCAACAAAAUUUCCACCGGCUGCAACAACAAUACCCAGGUUCCUAUAUAAACUUCAAAGCCGCCGACAAAAAAUUCGCAAACUUCCUCAGCACCUUGGGAAAAACCAAAAACCUGACUCCGUUUCAAAUUUUGUAUGGUAUCCAAAAACGCGACUCCUCCCGUCGGCCUGUACUUGGAUCCGAACGAAAUGGCAUUACCCGGACUCGGGCCUUUCGCCUCAGUCACUACGGCGGCGACCACCACGGUGUCGACGACGUCAUCGGCGGAGGAUCUGAGCAAAAAGAUUCGGAAGCCCCACACUAUUACCAAGUCCAGAGAGAGCUGGACUGAGCCCGAGCACGCUUUGGCUGUGAUUGGAAUAAGAUUGAAGCUUUUAUCGAGUCGAAGACAGUUAUACAGAAGCUGCUUAAUCUUGCGAAGUUAUUCUAGACACUGUUGAAUCUUCAUUACCAGGCGGUUUACCUCAAAAUGGAAGAGAGAGUGAAGGAGGGAAGUAAAAACAUAGGGGAACAUGAUCUUCUUGGAUGGAUUUUGAAGCAUUCAAAUCUUUCAAAGGAGCAAAUUCUUGACUUGAUAUUGAAGCUGCUCUUCUGAAACUUCAUCAGUAUCUAUGGCUUUAGUCAUAUAUUUCUUGCCUGGCUGUCCUAAUGCAAUUAAACACUUAGCGUAAUAUUGAUGGCAUUAUUAGAUCCGGUGAAGAAGACUCGGUCAGUGCUCAGCUUCAUGAAGUAUGCUAUUCAGUUGGUUAAGUGUCGUGAAAAUAUGGUACUUUGUUCUACUUUCUUUGCGUUAGCCUUUUUCUCUAUGCCUCCUCACAGAGUUUAGUUUCAUGCUGCAGUUAAAGUAGAAAUUUUGACAGUUAUGGCUUGUUGCAGUCUUGGGCUUAGCUUGAAUACUAGUAAUUUUAGUAUGAAGAAUCCCCUUGUAAACUCAUUACCAACUAGGGCUUUGGAGGCUUCCCUAUGUUUGAUUCUAAAAGCAUCAGCAUUGUUCAAAAGGAAAGGUAUGGUGCUUGGACCCCAAAUAGACUAAAUAGUUUAUUUGAAUGGAAAUUAAUCUGUCUUUGUUUUCAUGAUUAGAAAUCUUAUUUGUUUUUCCUUUGAGCUAAUAGAAGCGUUUUGUUUUAUUUUGUUUUUGGGUUCUUUCAUUUCAUGCAAAGUUUCUGGUACCCUGAAUUCUAAUUAUAUUGAUUGGAGAUGCCUUAUUUAAUUUCAGAUUAUUCUGCUUUGUGUGUGAAUUAAUCACUAGCUUGAUGCUUCUUUCUUCAUAUGUAUUGAGUAGUUUCUGGUCCAAAAUCAAGUAUUUACAGUUCCACAUAUUAGAAUAUAAAACAUAAAUUACACAGAGCUUGGUAUGGUAUGAAAUUUUGGGCACAUCAGGUUAUCAAAGUAUGGUUAUGAUGUUAGUUUGCUUCUAUGUAUAUGCAACUGCUCUCUUUGUCAUAAGUUGACAAGUUUUGAUCAGAGGCUGUGCAUAAUGAAACUGUAUUGUCAUGUCUUUUAAGCCCAAGGCCUUGAUUAUGGCUGAAAUUCAAGGUUCACAAACCACAUUGAGAGCUGAUAGACAAUAUUGGGUCUUAGUGCUCAAAACAUUUGAUUCCUCGGAUCUAUCUUGUACUUAUAUAUAGUUAUCCUGCUGGAACAUUCUUGAGAUAUGAAAACAUUUAACUGGGGUCUUUAUAGUUUUUGCAUUUCUUUUAUCUUCUAAGUGUAUCUGCAAUCCUUGAUAGAUGCUAACUUCAUUGGCUUCAAUAAUUGCACAAGCAUCAUCUACUAUAGCUGUGGAGGUAUUUAACAGAUUUAAUUUAUACUUUGUCAUUCUUGAGUAUUAAUUUUUUGAAACCCCAUUUUUUCUGUGCCUUUUAUGUUGAAAAUAGGAUGAUAAGCCGGAUGAAAGCCUCCAUCACAACAUGUAAUUAUACUUUAAAUUUGUUCUUCAUUUGCUUAUGUAAAUAUCUGGUUAGAUUUCUCUGUCAUGGAACAAUAAUUGCUGCAAUGUUUGGUUUUCAUUCAAAAAUGCAUCAAGCAUGCCCAUGUUUUGUUCUUUUGAUGAUAUCAUUAGGCCGAUAAUUGUUUGGGUUUUGCUUUAUACUAUGCAAACUCUGAAGGCAAGUGAUUCGCAUCUUGAAGGAGCAAGGAGCAUGUAAUAUAUUCUAGAGCCAAGCCACUGGAGGAGAACAAAAAACAAAUGUCCAAGCUAUAGAUUACAUUGUAAAUUAUUUUGCUAGUCAGCUUCAAUAGUUAGGUCAUGGAACAAUUAAUGACUAUUGUAGAUGUAUUUUGGUGGCUGUAAUGACAUUGGAGUUUUCAGAAUGAAUGAGAACAUCAAAGAAGGGCAAAAGCAAA